GAUGAAGAACGUAGUGAAAUGCGAUAAGUAAUGUGAAUUGCAGAAUUCAGUGAAUCAUCGAAUCUUUGAACGCACAUUGCGCCCGCCAGUAUUCUGGCGGGCAUGCCUGUUCGAGCGUCAUUACAACCCUCAGGCCCCCGGGCCUGGCGUUGGGGAUCGGCGGAGCCCCCCGUGGGCACACGCCGUCCCCCAAAUGCAGUGGCGGUCCCGCCGCAGCUUCCAUCGCGUAGUAGCUAACACCUCGCGACUGGAGAGCGGCGCGGCCACGCCGUAAAACACCCAACUCUUCUGAAGUUGACCUCGAAUCAGGUAGGAAUACCCGCUGAACUUAAGCAUAUCAAUAAGCGGAGGGA
rnacentral:misc_RNA from 1 species